rnacentral:rRNA from 1 species
UACAGAGGGUGCAAGCGUUGCUCGGAAUCAUUGGGCGUAAAGGGUAGGUAGGUGGUCUCAUUUGUCUGGGGUGAAAGCCCAGGGCUUAACCCUGGAAGUGCCCCGGAAACGGUGAGACUGGAGUAUUGGAGAGGGUCGUGGAAUUCCCGGUGUAGCGGUGAAAUGCGUAGAGAUCGGGAGGAACACCAGAGGCGAAGGCGGCGACCUGGACAAUUACUGACACUCAACUACGAAAGCGUGGGGAGCAAACAGG